rnacentral:lncRNA from 1 species
CAUCCUCACAGAGACUAUAUCAGAUUCUUAACCUGCUGAGCCACAGUGGGAACUUCUACAAAGCUUUUUGAUUAGCCUUUUGUUUGCUUUGUGAUCCACUGCCUCUGAGAGUCAGUGUUCAACAGUUUCCCCUGUUUGUUUUCAGCAAACACCCCCAGGGAAAAUGCUACAGGUGAGUUCUUAGUCACCUUGAAAGUGGGGUUUUCCUGGUCAUAUGAUGAUAGUUCUCAGGGAAUGAGAGUUCGAAGAACCUCUAGCUUCAUUUGUCCCUCUAUUGGCUGCCAGGCUAUGGUUUUUCAGGGCUAAUGGCAGAGCUUAGGGGUGACAUAGAAUAGGAAUAAUACAAGUUUAAAAUGCCAUGAAGUUCAUCUUUCUUACUAAGAUUCAGCCUUUUAUAUGAAUAAAUACUGCCCAGGUUGCUGUAAGAUGUAGAAUUCUGAAAAAGUUUGUUUUGCCAGUGACCUCAGUGCUUUUAUAGAUGAGAGAAUUUUCAGAGGUCCUUCCUCUUAUUUUCACUGUUUGCUCUUUACUUUGAGAAUUAGAUUACAGUUUUUAUUUGUAUAAAUACUGAUAUUCUAAAAAAGAGAAAAAUAUUUUUUCCUUUUUUGGUCACCCUGUGGCAUAUGGAAUUCCAGGGCCAGGAAUCAGAUCCAAGCCAUAGCUGUGGCAGUGCCAAAUCCUUUAACCCACUGUGCUGGCUGGGAAACAGACCUGUCCUGGCACUGCAGAGACGCCACCAAUCCUACCAUGCCACAGUGGGAACUCUAAAAGUUGUUUUUUUGUGUUCUAGCAUUAUUAUUAUAGAGAGUGGUGGUUUGUUGUUUUUGUUUUUGUUUUUUUGUCUUUUUGUCUUUUUGUCUUUUCAGGGCUGCACCCUUGGCAUGUGGAGGUUUCCAGGCUAGGGGUCAAAUCCAAGCUACAGCUGCUGGCCUACGUUACAGCCACAGCAAUGCUGGAUCCUUAACCCACUCAGCGAGGCCAGGGAUGGAACCCACCACCUUAUGGUUCGUAGUUGGAUUUGUUUCCGCUGCUACACAAUAGGAACUCUGAUUUUUUUUAUUUUUUGACAGAAUCUCACUAGAAAUCAAGAAGCUGUUGCAAAAGAAAUGAGAGAAGAUGCAGAUGCCUAUAGACGAAAAGCGGAUCUUGAAGAACACAUGUUUCAUAGACUGAUAGGAAUGGAUCAAACCCAGAACCAAAAAACCCAGAAGUUAAUUGAAGAAAAUUUGGCAAAAGCUGAACAAGCGUGUCUAAAUACUGACUGGCACAUUCAAGCUUUACAUAAACAAAGAUGCCAUGAUCUACACCGAAAUGAAUGUUACCAGGAAAUGGCUAAACUCCUUCGGAAAAACAGAAGGAAAGAAAUAGAAAUAUUAAACGCAAUGAGGGAGAGGGAAGCCGAAAAGGUAGGAAUGGUGUUACAAACUUGUUAGUAAUCAUUUAAAUCUUGAAAUAGUACAUAAUCAAAUGGCAAAAGCAUCAAACCAAGUAAUCUUUCUUUGAAAAAACCUUAAAGAUGAUUUAAUUUUAAUAGGUUUUGCUCAGGAGGGCCAGUGUUGAUGUCACCAAGAAUGAUUAAGUGUCUUUUUUUUUUUUUGGUCUUUUUUAGGGCCACACCUGUGUCACAUGGAGGUUCCCAGGCUGGGGGUCAAAUCGGAGCUAUAGUUGCUGGCCUACAUCACAGUCACAGCAACAUGGGAUCCGAGCUGUGUCUGUGACCUACACCACAGCUCACGGCAAUGCCAGAUCCUUAACCCACUGAGCGAGGCCUGGGAUCGAACCCGAAACCACAUUGUUCCUAAUCUGAUUUGUGAACCACUGAACCACAACAGAAACUCCUGUCUUUCUCUUACAUUAGCAUCUCAACCUCCCAGCUUCCUGGAUAUGUUCUAGUAGUAGAAAAAUAGGAAAUUUAGGAGUUCCUGCUGUGAUGCAGUGGUAAAGGAUCCAUUGUUUUCUCUGCUGAGGUGCAGGUUUGAUCCCAGCCAGGCACAGUGAGUUGAGGAUCCAGCACUGCCCCAGCUAUGGCGUAGAUCACAGCUGUGGCUUGGAUUUGAUUCAGUCCCCAGCCUGGGAAUUUAGUAAAAAUAUACAAACAAUGUAAAAGAUUUUGAACAGUUAAGAAUUAUAUGUAGCUCCUGGUAAGAAAAACCAAAAUAACAGUGCCUAUAAGCAAGAUAGAGGUAUUUUUCUUUUCUUUUUUCUUUUUAGAGUCUCAGCUGUGGCAUACGGAAGUUCCCGGGCUAGGAGUUCCAGGCAGAGCUGCCGCUGCCAGUCUACACCACAGCCAGAGCAGCUGCAAAUCUAUACGACAGCUCAUGGGAACACUGGAUCCUUAACUCACUGAGCAUGGCCAGGGAUCGAACCUGAGUCCUGAUGGAUAUUAGGUUUGUUUCCGCUGAGCCAUGACAGCGACUCCCAAAAGUAUUUUUUUUUUUCACAUGAAGAAAGUCUGGAGGCAGGCAGUGCAGGGGUGGUGUCCUGGCUCCAAGGUCAUCAGGAAAACUGCCUCCUUCAGCCUUUCGGCACCACUUCUGGUGUAUGGCUUUCAUUCUCAAGGCUACCUCUCCAUCCAAGGUGACGGCGGUUCCAGCCAUCACGUACACCUUCCAUUCAGCCGGAAGAAGGGAGGACAGAGGGCAGGAGAUCCCACCGCCCAGCUGAGACAUCUUCUUUUGCACUGCUUUCCAGAAGUCCCCCGUCACAUUUGUAGCCACACUGGCUGCAGAGGAUAUCAAGGAAAGUAGUAUUUUUAGCAGGGAAGCAUUAUCAUCCCGAAUAAAGUCCACCUCUGUUGCUAAAGCAGCAGCAGAGAUGGAUUUUGAGCAGGCAGCUCAAGAGUGUGUGUCAUGCCGAUGUAUCUUUUGGCUGAUCCUCCCAGCAGCUCUGGACCAUCUUUCUGCUGCUCUCUUGUAAUGAAUUUUCUGAAAGCUUGUCGUAAUAUAUCCCCUUCAAGACGCUUUUCCAGAUUCAUUUCCCUCCUACCCCGCCCCUAACCCAUAACCCUUUUGUUCAAGGCCAGGGAGAGGCAGGGGUGGUGCCCAGAACACGGAGGGCGCGCUCCUCAGGGAACUGAUGGUGGGAGCCCCCAUCUCAAGGUCUCCAUCACUGACACCAGGGCGAGACUGUGUAAUUGGGUGCUGCUCUCCUUUGGGUAACGCGUGUAUUCGAGAGUAGAACUGAGAAUCACCGUGAGGGCUCCUCAUGUCAUAAGCUCUUUCGUGUCCAGUGUCCUGGGUUCUAAAUCUAGUCGGAUGACUGCCUGGCUUUGGCAGGUCAGUCUCCUCAUCCAGUAACAUGAAAGGGAUGGAUCGCUAUGGCCCUUCCUGGCCUUAAUGAUUGCUUAGUUUUUGUUACUUAAUAUGUAUUUAUUGUAUUAGCAUUUGUAUAACAUGAAAACUGUGUUGCAUAUAAAAGCUGUCG